CUUCAGCGAUCCCAACCACAACGGCUGCUCCGCGGGGCGGCCCUGACCGUAGGUCGCCAGCAACGCCUGCGCCUC
rnacentral:antisense_RNA from 1 species